rnacentral:lncRNA from 1 species
AUCUCCAUAAAUGAAGGUGGACAUGGUCAUUAAUGGUUGGAAGGAACUACUAUUACAAAGCAAGCAAUCGGCAUCCUUAUGAUAUACAGACGGUUUAUCAUGGUGCCAAUGAUGAUGACAUCAGGUACCCUUAUAUUACUAUGAACGCCUGGUUUGACAGUAAGAAACAUAACUACAUCUGGU